rnacentral:rRNA from 1 species
AUUGAACGCUGGCGGCAGGCUUAACACAUGCAAGUCGAGCGGGGAAGGGUAGCUUGCUACCUGACCUAGCGGCGGACGGGUGAGUAAUGCUUAGGAAUCUGCCUACUAGUGGGGGACAACAUUCCGAAAGGAAUGCUAAUACCGCAUACGCCCUACGGGGGAAAGCAGGGGAUCUUCGGACCUUGCGCUAAUAGAUGAGCCUAAGUCAGAUUAGCUAGUUGGUGGGGUAAAGGCCUACCAAGGAGACGAUCUGUAGCGGGUCUGAGAGGAUGAUCCGCCACACUGGGACUGAAACACGGCCCAGACUCCUACGGGAGGCAGCAGUGGGGAAUAUUGGACAAUGGGCGCAAGCCUGAUCCAGCCAUGCCGCGUGUGUGAAGAAGGCCUUUUGGUUGUAAAGCACUUUAAGCGAGGAGGAGGCUACUGAGAUUAAUACUCUUGGAUAGUGGACGUUACUCGCAGAAUAAGCACCGGCUAACUCUGUGCCAGCCGCCGCAGUAA